UUGACCUCGGAUCGGGCAGGGAUACCCGCUGAACUUAAGCAUAUCA
rnacentral:rRNA from 1 species